UUGACAUAUUGAGGCCUAUUAAAUAAAUCUUGACUUUUACAAACCUAACCACACAUAUGUUCGCCCCAUUAAUGCACUGUAUGUUUGCACUCACAGGGCCAAGUUCCUUGGAAUAAUUUUGGAAACACGGAAAUAGCUUUUGAAUACAGCUGGUUUCAUUUGUAUGAGGUCAGUGCCAACACCAAACAUACAAGCAGCCACUUCAUUGAUGAAAUGGUGGAGACCAUUGGCCAGAUUUUGGAUGACCAGCUGGUAGCAGAGUUGUCAAAAUCCCCAGUGUGGGGAUUAAUGGUUGAUGAGACCACUGACAUCUCUGUCACCAAGCAACUGGGUCUUAUUGUGAGGGAGAAAAAGUGGAGUUGGAAAGAGACUCAAGGACUCGUUCCCUGGCCUGAUAACCGUGCACUGUGCGGCACAUCUGGCUGUGUCAGACUGCAUUAAGGGGCAGAGGGGAGUACCAUACCUCAUCAAAUAUGCCAGGACUGUUAGAACAAUAUUCUGGUUCUACCAAGCCUCCAGCAACAGGACCAGCAGUCUUAAGGAAAUGGAGAGGCUUUUUUAACCCCCCCCCCCCCCCCCCAAAUUAAACUGCAGGUUAGAAGUAUUCAGUGCUAGAUUAUUCAGAUUUACUUUUUCUUUUUUGUCCUUUAUAAAGCUCAUCAAUUAAUUCUGUAGUGAGGAAACACUACCAGGUGGGAGUCAAAUAAGGAAGCAACAGAUGUGAUGCGCCGGAUCCUGCCUGCUCUCAUUGCAGACCUCUCGCUCCAAGCCCGGAAUGAGCCAACAGCUCAAGGACUGUAUUUCUUUGUAAAGGAUCAGUUCUUUCCCCCUGCCCUGUGCCUAAUGCAACUUGUGCAUGAUAAGAUCCACCGGCACCUUUUCUUCUCCCAGGUGGAGCAGGAGGUCACAGUGCUGAAGACAUCCCUGACACAGCUGAGAGAGAGCAGCAUAGUCAAGGACCGCUGGCAGGCAUGGCUCCAAUCAGAUGCUGGUCUGAAGCCAGACUGAAGAACACUAAGUGAUGGAGCCGUUUCUGACUGCACUGACUGAGAACAUUGAGAGCCGAUUCCCAAACACCAGCAGUUUGUCUGUCUUCAGUGUGUUCUCUCCCAGACAGAUUCUGACAAACUCUGCACAGUAUGGGGAUGCUGAGAUGAGGACACUGGCAGAGCAGUUCCCAAGACUUAAGGAGUCUGACCUGGUGUCUGAGUGGGACUCCUACAGGCUGAGAAAUCCUCUGAGCUGUAUCCCACCCUGAGCCUUGCAGCUGCAAUCCCUGUCCAGACUGCAGAUGUGGAGAGGCUAUUUUCUGCACUCAAGAUUGUUAAGACACCCCUGCGCAACAGAUUAAAGGAGAGGCACUUGGAUGUGUGUUGCAAGGUGGCCAUCGAUGGACAAGACCAGGAGGCCUUGGACUACAAGGAGUGCAUGAAGAGGUUUUAUAAAAUGAAAAAUAGGAGGCUGAAAUGUUCCGUCUCUGGUUGUGAACUGUGUAGAUGAAAAAAUGGUUUUAAUGCAAUGUUCAAAUGCCCUGUAACAGGGCCACAUUUUGCUGGUUGUGAAAUGUGUAAAUGAAAGCAAAGGCUUUUGUGUUAUAUUUAUGUUUAACUACACUGCAAGAGGACCCCUGUGAAUUGUAAAUGAAAACAAUAACUUGUUAUAUUUGAUUUGAUUCUAAACAACUUGUUUGUUAACUGUGUAAAUUAACACAUUAGCUUUUAUGUUGUAUUUAAUGUUGAACAGGGCACCUUUA